rnacentral:rRNA from 1 species
UCCGAGUGGUGUGGAUGUUUAUUGGGCCUAAAGCAUCCGUAGCUGGCUAGGCUAGUCCCCUGUUAAAUCCACCGAAUUAAUCGUUGGAUUGCGGGGGAUACUGCUUGGCUAGGGGACGAGAGAGGCAGACGGUAUUUCCGGGGUAGGGGUGAAAUCCUAUAAUCCCGGGAAGACCACCAGUGGCGAAGGCUGUCUGCUAGAACGCGCCCGACGGUGAGGGAUGAAAGCUGGGGGAGCGAACCGGAUUAGAUACCCGGGUAGUCCCAGCUGUAAACGAUGCAGACUAGGUGUUUGGACGGCCACGUGCCGUUCUAGUGCCGCAGGGAAGCUGUUAAGUCUGCCGCCUGGGGAGUACGAUCGCAAGAUUGAAACUUAAAGGAAUUGGCGGGGGAGCACCACAAGGGGUGAAGCUUGCGGUUUAAUUGGAGUCAACGCCGGAAAUCUCACCGGGAGCGACAGCAGAAUGAAGGCCAGAUUAAAGGUCUUGCCAGACAAGCUGAGA